rnacentral:rRNA from 1 species
CCUACGGGUGGCAGCAGUGGGGAAUAUUGCACAAUGGGCGCAAGCCUGAUGCAGCGACGCCGCGUGCGGGAUGGAGGCCUUCGGGUUGUAAACCGCUUUUGUUCAAGGGCAAGGCACGGUCUUUGGCCGCGUUGAGUGGAUUGUUCGAAUAAGCACUGGCUACCUCCGCGCCAGCAGCCGCGGCAAUACGUAGGGUGCAAGCGUUAUCCGGAUUUAUUGGGAGUAAAGGGUUCGUAGGCGGUUCGUCGCGUCCGGUGUGAAAGUCCAUGGCUUAACGGUGGGACGGCGCCGGUUACGGGCGGGCUUGAGUGCGGUAGGGGAGACUGGAAUUCCCGGUGUAGCAGUGGAAUGUGUAGAUAUCGGGAAGAACACCAAUGGCGAAGGCAGGUCUCUGGGCCGUUACUGACGCUGAGGAACGAAGGCGUGGGGAGCGAACAGGAUUAGAUACCCCAGUAGUC